rnacentral:rRNA from 1 species
UCGAACGGAGUUACGAUGAAACCUAGUGAUUCGUAACUUAGUGGCGGACGGUGUGAGUAACGCGUGGAUAACCUGCCUUGCACUGGGGGAUAACACUUAGAAAUAGGUGCUAAUACCGCAUAAGCGCACAGAGCCGCAUGGCUCAGUGUGAAAAACUCCGGUGGUGUAAGAUGGAUCCGCGUCUGAUUAGCUGGUUGGCGGGGUAGAAGCCCACCAAGGCGACGAUCAGUAGCCGGCCUGAGAGGGUGAACGGCCACAUUGGGACUGAGACACGGCCCAAACUCCUACGGGAGGCAGCAGUGGGGAAUAUUGCACAAUGGGGGAAACCCUGAUGCAGCAACGCCGCGUGAGUGAAGAAGUCAUUCGUGAUGUAAAGCUCUAUCAGCAGGGAAGAAAAUGACGGUACCUGAGUAAGAAGCCCCGGCUAACUACGUGCCAGCAGCCGCGGUAAUACGUAGGGGGCAAGCGUUAUCCGGAUUUACUGGGUGUAAAGGGAGCGUAGACGGCCAGACAAGUCUGAAGUGAAAAUCCAGCGCUUAACGUUGGAAGUGCUUUGGAAACUGCCGGGCUAGAGUGCAGGAGGGGCAGGCGGAAUUCCUAGUGUAGCGGUGAAAUGCGUAGAUAUUAGGAGGAACACCAGUGGCGAAGGCGGCCUGCUGGACUGCAACUGACGUUGAGGCUCGAAGGCGUGGGGAGCAAACAGGAUUAGAUACCCUGGUAGUCCACGCGGUAAACGAUGAUUACUAGGUGUCGGGGGGCUAGAGCCCUUCGGUGCCGUC